rnacentral:rRNA from 1 species
AGAGUUUGAUCCUAGCUCAGGAUGAACGCUGGCGGCGUGGAUAAGGCAUGCAAGUCAAACGAACCAUGUAUUUAUAUAUGUAAGUGGCAAACGGGGUAGUAACAGGUAGGAAUAUACGUAUGAGUCAGGAAUAACUACAGGAAACUGUAGAUAAUACCUGAUAGUCCCUUCGGGGUAAAGAUUUAUCGCUCAUACAAUGGCCUGCUUCGUAUCAGCUUGUUGGUAGUGUAAAGGACUACCAAGGCUAUGACGCGUAGGGGAGCUGAGAGGCUGACCCCCACCAUUGGGACUGCGACACGGCCCAAACUCCUACGGGAGGCUGCAGUCGAGAAUCUUCCGCAAUGCACGAAAGUGUGACGGAGCGACGCCGCGUGAUGGAUGAAGUCUUUCGGGAUGUAAACAUCUUUUAUAUGUGAAGAAGUAUAUUGACAUUAGCAUAUGAAUAAGGGGUUCCUAAACUCGUGCCAGCAGGAGCGGUAAUACGAGUACCCCAAGCGUUAUCCGGAAUUAUUGGGCGUAAAGGGUCCGUAGGUGGCCAUAUUAGUCAGAGGUGAAAGAUCCGUGCUCAACACGGGGACCGCUUUUGAAACGGUAUGGCUUGAGGGUGUGAGAGGUUAGCAGAACUCAUGGUGUAGGGGUGAAAUCCGUUGAUAUCAUGGGGAAUACCAAAAGCGAAGGCAGCUAACUGGCACAUUUCUGACACUGAGGGACGAAACCUUGGGUAGCGAAUGGGAUUAGAUACCCCAGUAGUCCAAGGCCUAAACGAUCUUGAUUAGUUUUCGGGAGUAUCGACCCUCUCGGAGACGUAGCUAACGCGUUAAAUCAAGCGCCUGGGAAGUACGAGCGCAAGCUUAAAACUCAAAGGAAUAGACGGGGACUUGCACAAGCGGUGGAUCAUGUGGUUUAAUUCGACGAUAAACGAAGAACCUCACCAAGGCUAGACACUUUAGUCACGCGGCAUACUGGAAACAGCUAGUCGAUAUUGUGCUAAAGCAGGUGUUGCAUGGCCGUCGUCAGUUCGUGGUUUGAAUUGUUCCCUUAAGUGGGGUAACGAACGAAACCCUCAUCGUGUGUUAUAUAUGUCACGCGAGACUGCCCCCUCAUUGAGUAUCAGCAAGAUAUCUUGCUGGUAACCAGCGAGGGGGGAGGAAGGAGAGGAUGACGCCAGGUCAGCAUGACCCUUGAUGCCUUGGGCUACACACGUGAUACAAUGGGUGGGACAACGGGUCGCGACGAAGUAAUUCUGAGCUAAUCCUUCAAACACAUCCCCAGUUCGGAUUGAGGGCUGCAAUUCGCCCUCAUGAAGUUGGAAUCGCUAGUAAUCGCAGGUCAGCUAUACUGCGGUGAAUACGUUCUCGAGUCUUGUACUCACCGCCCGUCAAGUCAAGGGAGCCGGGGGUACCCGACAGCCGUCUUUAUGACGGACUAAGGUGAAUUCGGUAACAAGGACUAAGUCGUAACAAGGUA